rnacentral:rRNA from 1 species
GAUGAACGCUGGCGGCGUGCCUAAUACAUGCCAGUCGAGCGAACGGACGAGAAGCUUGCUUCUCUGAUGUUAGCGGCGGACGGGUGAGUAACACGUGGAUAACCUACCUAUAAGACUGGGAUAACUUCGGGAAACCGGAGCUAAUACCGGAUAAUAUUUUGAACCGCAUGGUUCAAAAGUGAAAGACGGUCUUGCUGUCACUUAUAGAUGGAUCCGCGCUGCAUUAGCUAGUUGGUAAGGUAACGGCUUACCAAGGCAACGAUGCAUAGCCGACCUGAGAGGGUGAUCGGCCACACUGGAACUGAGACACGGUCCAGACUCCUACGGGAGGCAGCAGUAGGGAAUCUUCCGCAAUGGGCGAAAGCCUGACGGAGCAACGCCGCGUGAGUGAUGAAGGUCUUCGGACCGUAAAACUCUGUUAUUAGGGAAGAACAUAUGUGUAAGUAACUGUGCACAUCUUGACGGUACCUAAUCAGAAAGCCACGGCUAACUACGUG